GAUGAACGCUGGCGGUGUGCCUAACACAUGCAAGUCGAGCGGCCGGACGAUGAGCGUUUUCCUUUGCCGUUGGCGACGGGCGGGCGAGUGAGGCGUAGAUCACCUUCUUCUUAUUCGGGGAUGACUUCGUGGAGAAACAUAUGCUAAUGGCUCAUAUAUCGUACCGCUUGGAUCAGUAGAUCUUGAGAGCUUUCGUGUCUCUUAUAGAUGAUGCCGCAUUAGCUAGUUGGGGUGGUAAAGGCCCACCAAGCCGACGAUCCGUAGCUGGUCUGAGAGGAUGAUCAGCCACACUGGAACUGAGACACGGUCCAGACUCCUACGGGAGGCAGCAGUGGGGAAUAUUCGACAAUGGGCGCAAGCCUGAUCCAGCCAUACCGCGUGGGUGAAGAAGGCCUUCGGGUUGUAAAGCUCUUUUGUUGGGAAAGAAAAGCAGCAGGUUAAUACCCCGCUGUUCUGACGGUACCCAAAGAAUAAGCACCGGCUAACUUCGUG
rnacentral:rRNA from 1 species